rnacentral:rRNA from 1 species
AUUGAACGCUGGCGGCAGGCCUAACACAUGCAAGUCGAACGAGUGGCGGACGGGUGAGUAAUGUCUGGGAAACUGCCUGAUGGAGGGGGAUAACUACUGGAAACGGUGGCUAAUACCGCAUACCAUCAGAUGUGCCCAGAUGGGAUUAGCUUGUGGGUGGGGUAAUGGCUCACCAAGGCGACGAGCCCUAGCUGGUCUGAGAGGAUGAUCAGCCACACUGGAACUGAGACACGGCCCAGACUCCUACGGGAGGCAGCAGUGGGGAAUAUUGCACAAUGGGCGCAAGCCUGAUGCAGCCAUGCCGCGUGUAUGAAGAAGGCCUUAGGGUUGUAAAGUACUUUCAGCGGGGAGGCGUUACCCGCAGAAGAAGCACCGGCUAACUCCGUGCCAGCAGCCGCGGUAAUAC